GAUCAGGAUUGUCUAACUUUGUGGCGGGAAAGGUACUCUACCUUUCAUUCUUUGUGAACGGUUGGAUGAAUCUAAUGCUUCAAACAUAGCCACGUGUCUCUAUUUUUUUCUCAAAUAAAAAAAUAAAAAAUAAAAAAUGGUAAACCUCUCAUUGUACCACCGUCCUUGACUCACACCACCACCUUCGUCAUUUAAUCGACCGUCAUUGUUGCAUCCCCACCAGCGUUCACUUGCAAAUGUCGUUGUCAUUAAAUCAAUCUUAAGAUUUAGAUGAUACUGUUUUUUAAUUUUAAAUAAAAAUGAAAGGACAAAUUGAACACUGUGGAUAGCAUUUUCAUCUCCUCCACCACUCUACGAGAGUCCAAGAUAAUCGACAAAAUGUGACCAUCAUGCACUCCGACCACCGGUGCCAUCUCAAUCGGACAUUGGAAAUAGUCUGAGAAUGUUUUUGUUGCAGCUGCUACAAGGUGAGAGCACAUAUGAUAUAGGUCAACGAUGAUGGCAGAUGAACCGUAGUGGAGAUGCAACAAUGGUCGAUUUAACGACGGAGGCGGUGGUGUGAGUCAACGAGGGUGAUACAAUGGAGGUUGAUUUGGAUGUCUAACUUUGUGGCUGGAAAGGUACUUUCCCUUUCAUUCUUUGUGAACGGUUGGAUGAAUCUAAUGCUUCAAACAUAGCCACGUGUCUCUAUUUUUUUCUCAAAUAAAAAAAUAAAAAAUAAAAAAUGGUAAACCUCUCAUUGUACCACCGUCCUUGACUCACACCACCACCUUCGUCAUUUAAUCGACCGUCAUUGUUGCAUCCCCACCAGCGUUCACUUGCAAAUGUCGUUGUCAUUAAAUCAAUCUUAAGAUUUAGAUGAUACUGUUUUUUAAUUUUAAAUAAAAAUGAAAGGACAAAUUGAACACUGUGGAUAGCAUUUUCAUCUCCUCCACCACUCUACGAGAGUCCAAGAUAAUCGACAAAAUGUGACCAUCAUGCACUCCGACCACCGGUGCCAUCUCAAUC
rnacentral:lncRNA from 1 species